rnacentral:rRNA from 1 species
AGGGUUUGAUCAUGGCUCAGAUUGAACGCUGGCGGCAGGCCUAACACAUGCAAGUCGAGCGGUAACGGGAAGAGCUUGCUCUUUGCCGACGAGCGGCGGACGGGUGCGUAACACGUAGGAAUCUGCCCGACAGUGGGGGACAGCCCGGAGAAAUCCGGAUUAAUACCGCAUACGACCCACGGGUGAAAGCAGGGGCUCCUUCGGGACCUUGCGCUGUCGGAUGAGCCUGCGUCGGAUUAGCUUGUUGGUGGGGUAAAAGCCUACCAAGGCGACGAUCCGUAGCUGGUCUGAGAGGAUGAUCAGCCACACUGGGACUGAGACACGGCCCAGACUCCUGCGGGAGGCAGCAGUGGGGAAUAUUGCACAAUGGGCGAAAGCCUGAUGCAGCCAUGCCGCGUGUGUGAAGAAGGCUCUAGGGUUGUAAAGCACUUUCAGCGAGGAGGAAAGGUACAGGGUUAAUACCCCUGUGCUGUGACGUUACUCGCAGAAGAAGCACCGGCUAACUCCGUGCCAGCAGCCGCGGUAAUACGGAGGGUGCGAGCGUUAAUCGGAAUUACUGGGCGUAAAGCGUGCGCAGGCGGCCUGUUAAGUUGGAUGUGAAAGCCCCGGGCUCAACUUGGGAACUGCAUCCAAAACUGGCAGGCUCGAGUGCGGAAGAGGAGUGUGGAAUUUCCUGUGUAGCGGUGAAAUGCGUAGAUAUGGGAAGGAACACCAGUGGCGAAGGCGACACUCUGGUCCGACACUGACGCUGA